UUGAUUUCAAAAAUGGGAUGUGCUGGUCUCCUCUCAAAGGGGGACAUUAGUGCACUCUCAACCUUGAUAAUCCACCCUGUGCACAUUCUGUAGACGAGGGGAUAACUCAAUCACCUUGUCUACAUUUUUAUUACACUCAAUUUUAUUAAUGGAUGGUAUUUUGAAAUAUUAAUA
rnacentral:misc_RNA from 1 species